AUUGAACGCUGGCGGCAUGCUUUACACAUGCAAGUCGUACGGCAGCGCGGGCUUCGGCCUGGCGGCGAGUGGCGAACGGGUGAGUAAUACAUCGGAACGUGCCCAGUAGUGGGGGAUAGCUCGGCGAAAGCCGGAUUAAUACCGCAUACGACCUGAGGGUGAAAGCGGGGGAUCUUCGGACCUCGCGCUAUUGGAGGGGCCGAUGGCAGAUUAGCUAGUUGGUGGGGUAAAGGCCUACCAAGGCGACGAUCUGUAGCUGGUCUGAGAGGACGACCAGCCACACUGCGACUGAGACACGACCCAGACUCCUACGGGAGGCAGCAGUGGGGAAUUUUGGACAAUGGGCGAAAGCCUGAUCCAGCAAUGCCGCGUGUGUGAUGAAGGCCUUCGGGUUUUAAAGCACUUUUGGCGGGAACGAAAAGGACUGUGCCAAUACCACGGUUCGAUGACGUUACCCGCAGAAUAAGCACCGGCUAACUACGUG
rnacentral:rRNA from 1 species